AUUGAACGCUGGCGGCAGGCCUAACACAUGCAAGUCGAACGAGUGGCGGACGGGGGAGUAAUGUCUGGGAAACUGCCCGAGGGAGGGGGAUAACUACUGGAAACGGUAGCUAAUACCGCAUACCAUCGGAUGUGCCCAGAUGGUAUUAGCUUGUAGGUGAGGUAACGGCUCACCUAGGCGACGAGCCCUAGCUGGUCUGCGAGGAUGACCAUCCACACUGGAACGGAGACACGGUCCAGACUCCUACGGGAGGCAGCCGUGGGGAAUAUUGCACAAUGGGCGCAAGCCGGCUCCAGCCAUGCCGCGUGUGUGAAGAAGGUCUUCGGAUUGUAAAGCACUUUAAGUUGGGAGGCGUUACCAACAGAAUAAGCACCGGCUAACUUCGUGCCAGCAGCCGCGGUAAUAC
rnacentral:rRNA from 1 species